rnacentral:rRNA from 1 species
GAUCAUGGCUCAGGACGAACGCUGGCGGCGUGCCUAACACAUGCAAGUCGAACGGGGUGAAGCCCUUCGGGACUUCACUUAGUGGCGAACGGGUGAGUAACGCGUGAGGAACCUGCCAUACACUGGGGGGAUAACAGCUGGAAACAGCUGCUAAUACCGCAUAAAACUGUAGAGUCGCAUGACUUUAUAGCCAAAGCUCCGGCGGUGUAUGAUGGAUGGGGAUGCGUCUGAUUAGGUUGUUGGCGGGGUAACGGCCACCAAGCCAUCGAUCAGUAGGGGUUCUGAGAGGAAGGUCCCCCACAUUGGAACUGAGACACGGUCCAAACUCCUACGGGAGGCAGCAGUGAGGAAUAUUGGUCAAUGGGCGAGAGCCUGAACCAGCCAAGUAGCGUGCAGGAUGACGGCCCUAUGGGUUGUAAACUGCUUUCAGUCGGGAAUAAUUCGUCGGUCGUGACCGACGUUGCAGGUACCGUCAUAAGAAGGACCGGCUAAUUCCGUG